UGGACAUCAAGUUGUUAUUAAGUUCUGUUUUUCCUGAGAAUUUCAUUUUUUUUUGCACUUUAAGUUGCUAUUAAGUUUCUCAAGCUCUUUGUUUUCCCUGAGCAUUUCAUUGUUUUUGCACUUUAAAUUGUUAUUAAUUUCCUCGAGCUCUGUGUUUUCCCUGAGCAUUUUCUUGUUUUUGUAUUUUAAGUUGUUAUUAAUUUCCUCGAGCUCUGUGUUUUCCUUGAGCAUUUUCUUCUUUUUGUAUUUUAAGUUGUUAUUAAUUUCCUCGAGCUCUGUGUUUUCCUUGAGCAUUUUCUUGUUUUUGUAUUUUAAGUUGUUAUGAAGUUCCUCAAGCUCUGUGCUCUUUUUUAGGAUUUCACUGUAUUUGUAGUUUAAGUUCUUAUUCUGUCCCUCGAGCUCUGUGUUCUUUCUCAGGAUUUCAUCAAUUUUGUAUUUUAAGAUGUUACAAAGUUCCACAAGCUCUGAGUUCUUGCUUAGCAUUUCAUUGCAAAUGUGCUGCGCGCCUGAGUGUUGUUUUAUCAUUUUUCCCUUUCUCCUUCUAGUUCCAUGAUUUUCUCCUUCAUUUCAUUAGAACAUGCGUGUAGUUGUAGAUUUUUCCUUUCUAAGUCUUGGAGAAUAACUUGUGUCUUUUUCUGCAUUUUUUCCUGUUGCUGUUUCUCUUGAAGAAACUCUUUGUUUUUCUCCAGGGCUUCAUCAAGUUUUAGGUGAAGCUGCAGAUUCUUGUUCUCAGUGUCUUUGAGAUUCCCAUAGAGCUCCUGAUUAAUAGCUUCUGUUUGUUGAAGCUGGUAGGACAUUUUUCUUAACUGGUCGCAGUUCUGCUUGUUUGUUGUCAUCAGGCUUGCAAUAUGCUGCGGAUCUUCAAUAAAGAUUAUUUCCCAGCCCUUAUUUACAAUAUCUACACCGGGCAGGUUUUGUGUAUUUUUAUUUUCUUCGUCUUGCUGGUUUAUGAGACUUUCAUCGUGAAACAUUUCUGCAUUUCUGUGCAGUGCUUCAUUAAGCUUUACUUGCAAGACUUUGUUUUGUUUCUUCAUGGUCUGAAGUUUACAUUCCAUUUUUUUCUCCUUUCUUUAAAUGUAAAGACUUCUUUUUAAAUGUAAUAACAUAAAAAAAAAACCUCCUCAGCCAUCAAAAUAACUUG
ensembl:lncRNA